rnacentral:lncRNA from 1 species
UAUAAUUUAUAAAAACAAAUUAAUCAAUAUUAAUGACAUGUCAUGUCAUGUGGCACUCAUUGAAUGGGAUGCCGAUUUUCACAAUUUUUAUGGUAAUUUUAAUAUUUUUUUAGAUGUACUUCUUUACUCUUUGGUUGAAAAUCACUCAUUAUUUAAAUGAUUUUUUUUUUCUCAUAUAUACGAGUAAAGUUCAGCAAGUUGCCUGAUGCCUUCUAAAAUUAUAAUAAAGAAUAAUAUUAUGGGUCCAAAUAUUAAAGUUGCAUAAAUUACAUUAUUACACGACUAUCUUUGUAAGGGAGCUCCUAAGUCCUAAGUUAAUGUAACUUAGCGCUUCUUUGUAAUCCUAUAGAUUUGAUGAUACAGUCUUUGUGCUUUGAUUAUCUGCAAGAUUAGGUGGAUGAUGGCCUUGCCAUGUCCCCACGUGCUUGUAUCUUAACCGAAGGGAAUAGCAACAAACAAAGCCUUCACAUGGGCAUUACUAACAUUCAGCCAAGACCGGUUGGUUUUGGUUUUGAUUAGGUGGCCGCUGCUUAGAGGAUGUGAUGUUUUGAUUAGGUGGCAUAAACAAAGAGUUAAUGGUGCGAUUCUUGGCCCCUAAUUACUUUUUUAGUACGAGGUUUUUAAUGGUUGAAAGUUGAAUGAUGUCUCUCUCUCUCUCUCUCUCUCUCUCUCUCUCUCUCGAUGUAAUGAGAAUAUGAUUACUGACCCCAUCCUACAACUGAUUGUGACAAUUCUUGUUUCUUUUUCUUGUUUUUGUAUAAUGGAAUGGAAUUUGGUAUUACCCAAAAUCAUAUUCUUUAUUAGUAACUUCAAUUUUUUCCUUCCAUCUCUAACUUAAUAAAAAUUUGCAUCCUUUUCCAAGAUUAUCUCGCUCUCUCUUAAAAAUUUUGCAGUCGUUUUUUUUUUUUUUUUGGUUAGUUCACUCUUGUUAGGACCGAUCAAAUUAACUCUUCACUUUUGAUUGUGACAUAUUGGGCUCAUCACUAUCCUAAAAAUGUAAGGGAAAGUUUGGCAUGCAACAUUAAAUUGUACUAAACAUUGGGAUUAAACUAAAUUAGAUUGGAUUAGAUUAUAUUAGAUCAUAUGUAAUGCUGAUUAAUAUUUGGUAUAAUAUCGAAUCGGAAUAAGUUAAAUAGUAUUUAAGUUAA